rnacentral:rRNA from 1 species
UACGUAGGGGGCAAGCGUUGUCCGGAUUUAUUGGGCGUAAAGAGCGUGUAGGCGGCCACACAGGUCAGCUGUGAAAACUCGAGGCUCAACCUCGAGACGUCGGUUGAAACCGUAUGGCUAGAGUCCGGAAGAGGAGAGUGGAAUUCCCGGUGUAGCGGUGAAAUGCGCAGAUAUCGGGAAGAACACCCGUGGCGAAGGCGGCUCUCUGGGCAUGUCCUGACGCUGAGGAGCGAAAGUGUGGGGAGCGAACAGG